GCUCUCUUAGCUCAGCUGGAUAGAGCGUUCGCCUCCGGAGCGAAAGGUCGCGGGUUCGAAUCCCACAGAGAGCACCA
rnacentral:tRNA from 1 species